AUUUAACGCUGGCGGCAGGCUUAACACAUGCAAGUCGAGCGAGAGGCGGACGGGUGAGUAAUGUCUGGGAAACUGCCAGAUCGAGGGGGAUAACUACUGGAAACGUUAGCUAAUACCGCAUACCAUCGGAUGUGCCCACAUGGGAUUAGCUAGUAGGUGGGGUAAUGGCUCACCUAGGCGACGAUCCCCAGCUGGUAUGAGAGGAUGACCAGCCACACUGGAACUGAGACACGGGCCAGACUCCUACGGGAUGCAGCAGUGGGGAAGAUGGCACAAUGGGCGCAAGCCUGAUGCAGCCAUGCCGCGUGGGUGAAGAAGGCCUUCGGGUUGUAAAGCACUUUCAGCGAGGAGGCGUUACUCGCAGAAGAAGCACCGGCUAACUCCGUGCCAGCAGCCGCGGUAAUUC
rnacentral:rRNA from 1 species